CCUACGGGAGGCAGCAGUGAGGAAUAUUGGUCAAUGGACGAGAGUCUGAACCAGCCAAGUAGCGUGAAGGAUGACUGCCCUAUGGGUUGUAAACUUCUUUUAUGUGGGAAUAAAACGUUCCACGUGUGGGAUUUUGUAUGUACCAUAUGAAUAAGGAUCGGCUAACUCCGUGCCAGCAGCCGCGGUAAUACGGAGGGUCCGAGCGUUAUCCGGAUUUAUUGGGUUUAAAGGGAGCGUAGGUGGCUUGUUAAGUCAGUUGUGAAAGUUUGCGGCUCAACCGUAAAAUUGCAGUUGAAACUGGCAGUCUUGAGUACAGGAGAGGUGGGCGGAAUUCGUGGUGUAGCGGUGAAAUGCUUAGAUAUCACGAAGAACUCCGAUUGCGAAGGCAGCUUACUGGACUGCAACUGACACUGAGGCUCGAAAGUGCGGGUAUCAAACAGGAUUAGAUACCCUAGUAGUC
rnacentral:rRNA from 1 species